rnacentral:rRNA from 1 species
CCCAGACUCCUACGGGAGGCAGCAGUGGGGAAUAUUGGACAAUGGGGGGAACCCUGAUCCAGCGACGCCGCGUGAGUGAAGAAGUAUUUCGGUAUGUAAAGCUCUAUCAGCAGGGAAGAAAGAAAUGACGGUACCUGACUAAGAAGCCCCGGCUAACUACGUGCCAGCAGCCGCGGUAAUACGUAGGGGGCAAGCGUUAUCCGGAUUUACUGGGUGUAAAGGGGGCGCAGACGGCAGCGCAAGCCAGGAGUGAAAGCCCGGGGCCCAACCCCGGGACUGCUCUUGGAACUGCGCGGCUGGAGUGCAGGAGGGGCAGGCGGAAUUCCUGGUGGAGCGGUGAAAUGCGUAGAUAUCAGGAGGAACACCGGUGGCGAAGGCGGCCUUCUGGACUGCAACUGACGUUGAGGCCCGAAAGCGUGGGGAGCAAACAGGAUUAGAUACCCCGGUAG